rnacentral:ncRNA from 3 species
AUUCAUCUUCGGGGCAGGGUGCAAUUCCCUACCGGCGGUGAUGAAGCAUUUUUGCUUCUAAGCCCGCGAGCCUUUUUGAGGCAGGAUUUGGUGAGACUCCAAAGCCGACAGUAUAGUCUGGAUGGGAGAAGAUGAAG